GUAGUUAGCCGGGGCUUCCUCCUUGGCUACCGUCACUUUCUUCGUCACCAAGGACAAAGGUUUACAAUCCGAAGACCUUCUUCCCUCACGCGGCGUUGCUGGGUCAGGCUUGCGCCCAUUGCCCAAUAUUCCCCACUGCUGCCUCCCGUAGGAGUCUGGACCGUGUCUCAGUUCCAGUGUGGCCGAUCAGCCUCUCAGCUCGGCUACCCAUCGUCGACUAGGUGGGCCGUUACCCCGCCUACUAUCUAAUGGGACGCGAACCCCUCCCAAAGCGGAUUGCUCCUUUGACCUCUUCGCGAUGCCGCGUUGUGGUCUUAUGCGGUAUUAGCAGCCGUUUCCGGCUGUUAUCCCCCUCUUUGGGUCAGAUUGUUCACGCGUUACUCACCGUUCGCCACUAAGACAAAACCGAAACUUACUUGCUCCGUUCGUACUUGCAUGUGUUAGGCACGCCGCCAGCGUUCGUCCUGAGCACGAAUACAACUACUGA
rnacentral:rRNA from 1 species